UACGUAGGGUGCGAGCGUUGUCCGAAUUAUUGGGCGUAAAGAGCUCGUAGGCGGUCUGUUGCGUCCGCUGUGAAAACUCGGGGCUUAACCCCGAGCCUGCAGUGGAUACGGGCAGACUAGAGGUAGGUAGGGGAGAAUGGAAUUCCCGGUGUAGCGGUGAAAUGCGCAGAUAUCGGGAGGAACACCGGUGGCGAAGGCGGUUCUCUGGGCCUUACCUGACGCUGAGGAGCGAAAGCGUGGGGAGCGAACAGG
rnacentral:rRNA from 1 species